GGUCCUUGAAUGCACCACAAACAGCGCAGAGUCCGAGUGAGCCGCUGAAAGUCAGAUCUGUUCUUCAAAGCAGACUUUCAGCUUUAUUUCAAGCUUAAAUGUAAUCUGAUGUAGUCAGUAUUUACAGUCAGGCUCUGUUAUUAACUGAAAACAGCGACAGACUCAGACAUUUAGAACAAACUAAGACUCGGAUCAGCACAAAUACUGACACAGAGAUGGCUGCUGGCACUGCGCUGCUCUGCUGCUUGUCCAUGUCUUCGUCCCUGCAGGACCAAAGAUCAUUACAGCUGAGUCUGGACAGAACAUGACUCUGACAUGUCGAGCUCCAAAUAUCAGCAUCACGGGUGUAAAGUGGAUCAGAGCUGACCUGUGGCCAAAAAAUGUGCUUUUGUACCGUGAUAGUCAUUUUAUUCCAGACAACCAGCAUCCAUCUUUUAAGAACCGGGUGGAUCUGCAGGACAGACAGAUGAAGGAUGGAGACGUGUCUUUGAUUCUGAAGGGUGUGACGACUACUGACACUGGAACAUACAUGUGUCGUGUCAUCAUAGAAGAAAGACAGUCACUGAAGCUCAGCAUCAUCCACCUGAUUGUUGAUCCAGACCAGAAAAUCAUCACAGCUGUGCCUGGACAGGACGUCACUCUGACAUGUCGAGCUCCAAACAGUGAGAUCAGAGUUGUAGAGUGGAGCAGAGCUGACCUGGGAGACAAAUAUGUGCUUUUGCACUGGGAUGGUCACUUUGUUCCAGACAACCAGCAUCUAUCUUUUAAGAACCGGAUGGAUCUGCAGGACAGACAGAUGAAGGAUGGAGACGUGUCUUUGAUUCUGAAGGAUGUGACGAUUAAUGAUGCUGGAACAUACGAGUGUCGUGUCUACAUGGGAAGAGAAACAGACUCAUGGGAAUUCAUCAGCAUCAUCUUCCUGAGAGUUCCUCCAGACAAACACACCAUUUUUCUUCUCUCUGUGCUGUUGCCCAUUGGGUCAGUCUAUGUUGUGGUUCUGCUGGUGAGACGAUGUGUUCACAGGAAACUUGAAGAAGAUGGAGAAGAUGACAUCACCAGUGACAUCACAUACAUUGUUGUGAAAUCAUCAAAUCAUCAACAACCUCGAAUCGGAGAUAGAGAGACUGAUUCAGCUGUGAUCUACUCAGCAGUGAGAAGUGAAGAUGUCAGUUAUGGACAAACAACCAUCAGAACAAGGAGGCCCAGUUUCCCUGGACCUUUGUAAUCUGCCGUUUGGGAUGUAACUGAGUUGCUGUGUGGAACCGUGAGGUGGAGCAGGAGUGAGAGAGAACCAUUCCCUUUCUCCGACCUCCCUUUUGGACCCUUGGAACCCCGGAUUUCCCCCACAUGUAUAUAUAUCACACCUGGUCUUUGUGUAAAUAAAGACCUGCACUGAACUGUGAAGUCUGCGCCUGAGUCCACUCUGUUGCA